rnacentral:lncRNA from 1 species
GCACACUACAAGAGAAAGGUAGAGAAUUGGGACGCACUGCAUAUCCUUCCAAAAUGACAGAACCAACUGUAUUCCACUCAGUAAAUACUCAGGUCAUGCAAUCACAUGAAAACUCUGAUAGUGACACGAGCCAACAAACAGAGUACAGCCUGCUGCAAGUGAACGGGGCAUGGAACAGACAGAUUGGUGGACAGACUCAGAAGGAGGGACGGUUAUCAGCUGCUAAAAUGACUGAGACGGUUGCUGUGCAUUUCGAGGCAUAUCUGGACAACAGUUGUUUUGGACAAACAUCUCUUAACAGCAAGGUGUGGUUGUAUUUGUUUGCUGUCUUAACAGCAAGGUGUGGUUGUAUUUGUUUGCUGUCUUAACAGCAAGGUGUGGUUGUAUUUGUUUGCUGUCUUAACAGCAAGGUGUGGUUGUAUUUGUUUGCUGUCUAUUACAUGUCUAAUACACUAUACUAAUCACUAUUACUAAUUAACACAUAUGAAGGAAGAAAGUUAAGCACUUUUUACGAGCCUAAAUCACCCCAUUGAUAGUGGCUUACUUCCAAACUCUGUAUGGAGCUAAUAAAUCAGC